UGGGGAAUAUUGCACAAUGGGGGGAACCCUGAUGCAGCGACGCCGCGUGGGUGAAGAAGUAUUUCGGUAUGUAAAGCCCUAUCAGCAGGGAAGAAGAGAUGACGGUACCUGAGUAAGAAGCACCGGCUAAAUACGUGCCAGCAGCCGCGGUAAUACGUAUGGUGCAAGCGUUAUCCGGAUUUACUGGGUGUAAAGGGAGCGCAGGCGGCGCGCUAAGUCUGAUGUGAAAGCCCGGGGCUCAACCGCGGGACUGCAUUGGAAACUGGCGGGCUGGAGUGCCGGAGAGGUAAGCGGAAUUCCUGGUGUAGCGGUGAAAUGCGUAGAUAUCAGGAGGAACACCAGUGGCGAAGGCGGCUUACUGGACGGUAACUGACGCUGAGGCUCGAAAGCGUGGGGAGCAAACAGG
rnacentral:rRNA from 1 species